rnacentral:rRNA from 1 species
AUUGAACGCUGGCGGCAGGCCUAAUACAUGCAAGUCGAGCGGAGCGGCGGACGGGUGAGUAAUGCCUAGGCACCUGCCUGGUAGUGGGGGAUAACGUCCGGAAACGGGCGCUAAUACCGCAUACUAUCAGAUGAGCCUCGGUCGGAUUAGCUAGUGGGUGGGGUAAAGGCCUACCAGGGCGACGUUCCGUAACUGGUCUGAGAGGAUGAUCAGUCACACUGGAACUGGGACCCGGUCCAGAAUCCUGCGGGAGGCAGCGGUGGGGAUUAUUGCACAGGGGGCGCAAGCCUGAUGCGGCCAUGCCGCGUGUAUGAAGAAGGCCUUCGGGUUGUGAAGUACUUUCGGCGGGGAGGCGUUACCCGCAGAAGAAGCACCGGCUAACUCCGUGCCAGCAGCCGCGGUAAUUC